UCCAUCAUGUCUCAUUAAGGUGCUUUUGGUGUUAUCUUUCUAAAUGAUGAUAGCAAUUUUAUUAUUAUUUUGGUUCAGUGCCCCAGUUGAUCUUCUUUGGAGAUUCUGGUCGAUUAUCGCUUGAUAUACAGGCAUUAUUUUCCCUUUUUUUUUAUUUCAUCUCUUUCAAGUGCAAAGAUUGAACAAAUCAAAAUAAAGC
rnacentral:lncRNA from 1 species